GAUGAACGCUGGCGGCGUGCCUAAUACAUGCAAGUCGAGCGAACAGAUGAGGAGCUUGCUCCUCUGACGUUAGCGGCGGACGGGUGAGUAACACGUGGAUAGCCUACCUAUAAGACUGGGAUAACUUCGGGAAACCGGAGCUAAUACCGGAUAAUAUAUUGAACCGCAUGGUUCAAUAGUGAAAGACGGUUUUGCUGUCACUUAUAGAUGGAUCCGCGCCGCAUUAGCUAGUUGGUAAGGUAACGGCUUACCAAGGCAACGAUGCGUAGCCGACCUGAGAGGGUGAUCGGCCACACUGGAACUGAGACACGGUCCAGACUCCUACGGGAGGCAGCAGUAGGGAAUCUUCCGCAAUGGGCGAAAGCCUGACGGAGCAACGCCGCGUGAGUGAUGAAGGUCUUCGGAUCGUAAAACUCUGUUAUUAGGGAAGAACAAAUGUGUAAGUAACUAUGCACGUCUUGACGGUACCUAAUCAGAAAACCACGGCUAACUACGU
rnacentral:rRNA from 1 species